GGGGAAUAUUGCACAAUGGGCGAAAGCCUGAUGCAGCAACGCCGCGUGAGUGAUGAAGGCCUUCGGGUUGUAAAGCUCUGUCUUUUGGGACGAUAAUGACGGUACCAAAGGAGGAAGCCACGGCUAACUACGUGCCAGCAGCCGCGGUAAUACGUAGGUGGCGAGCGUUGUCCGGAUUUACUGGGCGUAAAGGAUGCGUAGGCGGAUAUUUAAGUGAGAUGUGAAAUACCCGAGCUUAACUUGGGUGCUGCAUUUCAAACUGGAUAUCUAGAGUGCGGGAGAGGAGAAUGGAAUUCCUAGUGUAGCGGUGAAAUGCGUAGAGAUUAGGAAGAACACCAGUGGCGAAGGCGAUUCUCUGGACCGUAACUGACGCUGAGGCAUGAAAGCGUGGGUAGCAAAC
rnacentral:rRNA from 1 species